CACACACACCCACACACACACACACACGAAAAGAUAAGAAGGUAGAUUCUGGAAGAGGAUACACAAACACUCACACAAACAAACAUACAAACACACACACA